CCCUUAGAUGUUCUGGGCCGCACGCGUGCUACACUGAGUGGAUCAGCGGGUCAGGUUGCGCGAAAGUGUUUCCUAAUCUUUAAAUCCGCUCGUGAUGGGGAUUGACGGUUGCAAUUUUCCGUCAUGAACGAGGAAUACCUUGUAAGCGCGGGUCAUCAUCCCGUGCUGAAUACGUCCCUGCCCUUUGUACACACCGCCCGUCGCUCCUACCGAUUGAGUGGUCCGGUGAGGCUUUGGGAUCUGGGCGGAAAGAGCGUUUCGCUGUUUCUGCCCGGAAAACUCAGUCGAACCUUAUCAUUUAGAGGAAGGAGAAGUCGUAACA
rnacentral:rRNA from 1 species